rnacentral:rRNA from 1 species
CCUAAUACAUGCAAGUCGAGCGGAUCGAUGGGAGCUUGCUCCCUGAGAUCAGCGGCGGACGGGUGAGUAACACGUGGGUAACCUGCCUGUAAGACUGGGAUAACUCCGGGAAACCGGGGCUAAUACCGGAUAAAUUAGUUCCUCGCAUGAGGAACUGUUGAAAGGUGGCUUCGGCUACCACUUACAAAUGGACCCGCGGCGCAUUAGCUAGUUGGUGAGGUAACGGCUCACCAAGGCAACGAUGCGUAGCCGACCUGAGAGGGUGAUCGGCCACACUGGGACUGAGACACGGCCCAGACUCCUACGGGAGGCAGCAGUAGGGAAUCUUCCGCAAUGGACGAAAGUCUGACGGAGCAACGCCGCGUGAGUGAAGAAGGUUUUCGGAUCGUAAAACUCUGUUGUUAGGGAAGAACAAGUGCCGUUCGAAUAGGGCGGCACCUUGACGGUACCUAACCAGAAAGCCACGGCUAACUACGUGCCAGCAGCCGCGGUAAUACGUAGGUGGCAAGCGUUGUCCGGAAUUAUUGGGCGUAAAGCGCGCGCAGGUGGUUUCUUAAGUCUGAUGUGAAAGCCCACGGCUCAACCGUGGAGGGUCAUUGGAAACUGGGGAACUUGAGUG